AUUGAUAAUUAUUGAGUUUAUAUUUUGAUUUAUUUUUUAAUUUAUUUUAAAUAAAGUUCUAAGAAAGGGGAAAGUUAUAUUCUAAUUUUUUAAUUAAUAUUUUUAAUUUAAAAUCAGUGAUGGUAAAAUUAAAAAUUUUUAAAAAUUAGAAUAUUUUCUGUACCUUUUGUAUCAGGGAUAAUUAAUUAUAAGUUAUAUUUUUUAAUGGUCUCGAAAUUGAAAGAGUUAAUUUUUUAUUAAUUUUAAUGUGGAAAUAUUAUGUUGAAUUAUGAAUUAGGAAUGAGAUGUUAUUCGUUUUUAAUGAUAUCUAGUUUUUUAAGAGUUAAAUUGAAUUUAGUAAUUAAUAGAAGAUUAUUUGUUUAUGUAUUAAAUUAAAUAUUAUGUUAAUUAAAAUAAAUUAUGGGAUAAACUAUUUUUUAUGAAGUAAAAAAUUUAUAUAUGUAUUAAUUGAAUAUGAAAAAAAUUUUAAAUUGAUUAAGUUUUAUAAAAUGUAAUAAUUAAUUUUAAUUUGGUAAAUAAGAUUUUAAGUUGUUUUUAUGAAAUAUUAAAAUAUUAUUAGUAAUUAUUAUAAUUAAAUAAUAAUGAUUAUAUCAGUAUAAUAAAUAAAUAUUUAAAAAUAAUUUUGUAUAUUUAAAUAAAUUUAAUUUAUGAAUUAGGCAAUUUUUACUAUUCACCUGUUUAAUAAAAACAUGGUUUUUUGAAUAUAAUUUUAAAUCAAUUCUGCCCCCUGAAGAUUUUAAAUGGCCGCAGUAUUUUGACUGUGCAAAGGUAGCAAAAUAAUUUGUUCUUUAAUUAAGGACUGGAAUGAAAGAGUUAAUGAAAUAGUUACUUUAUUAGUUAAAAAAUUAAAAAUUAAUUUUAAGUAAAAAUUCUUAAGUUAAAAUAAAAGACGAGAAGACCCUAUAGAGUUUUAAUUUAAAUAUUAUUUAUUAAAUAAUAUAUUAUUAUAUUUAGUAAAUAAUAUUUUAAUUUUUACUGGGGCGGUAGAUUAAUUUAAUAAAAUUAAUUUAAAUAUUAAACUUUGAUUUAAGGUUUUUUGACUUGUUUAAAAGUUAUAAGAUUAAAUUACCUUAGGGAUAACAGCGUAAUAUUUUUGGAGAGUUCAAAUCGAUAAAAGUGUUUGCGACCUCGAUGUUGAAUUAAGAUUAAAUUUAAAUGUAGAAGUUUAAAAUUUUAAGUCUGUUCGACUUUUAAAAUCUUACAUGAUUUGAGUUUAGAUCGGCGUAAGCUAGAUCAGAUUUUAUCUUUAUAAAAUAAAAAUUAUUUUGUACGAAAGGACUAAUAAUUUAUAAAAUUUAUUAAUUUAUUUGAAUACAAUUAAU
rnacentral:rRNA from 1 species